AGAGACAGAAAGAGUGGCUCACGGGGCCGCUGGUUCAGGUGCUCUGGGCGGCAGGCGGAGAGGAAGCUGGGCCAGAGAGUGUGGGAGAGGGCGGGACAGGCGGUUAGACAGGGACGCAAAGAAUGCAGGAGAGGGUGACCGAGGCUGGCUGAUUAGGUACGGGUCCACCUGCAGCAGCGACUCUCCCACUCUGAGGGUGGCUCUGUCGUGUGAUCAAAGGCUGUCUCAGAGACCCCAGCAGCCCUGCAUCUCUGGGGCCCGGCUCCUUUUGGCUCCGUGGUGACCCUGACGGGCCCUCUGAAACUGGCUGCUCCAGAAGGGGAUUGGGUUGAUGGAAGAAGACCCCCAUCUGCAGUCUAAUUGGGCCGUGGGUAGGAAACAAAGACCUGGCACAUUUGGGGGGUCAAAUCUGGCUGCCACGUGCCCCCCCGCCAUUGCCUCUGGAUCUUCGGGCUCUUCCAUCAGCCUGCUUUGUGUGACACGUCUUGGUGCACGUGCGUCUCCCAUGUCGUCUUCCUGAGAUUGAACGUGGUGCCUUCAUCUCUGCAUGCUCCUCGCCCAAAGCGCACCACAGAGGACACAGGCUCAGGGAGGCAUGGCUCUUGGCCAGCGCGCAGAAGACAGAGGUCCAGACACCACCGAGGCCCAGUGAUACAUCUGGGAGAAGCGGCUCCCCAGGCCAGCAGACUUUCAGCUUGACCUGAGGGCUGAGCUCGAACCAGCUUACCCCGUGCAUACACCAGGCCUGACUGCAGCCCCGUGAUGGGGAGGGGAAGGGCCCCUGGGCAGGGCUCCUCAGACUGGGAGGAGAGAGGCCCAGGGGAUGUUCAGACUCCAUUUGCAGAGCUAAGAAGCCAAAGGCAAGGACUUUAUCUUGCUUGUUUGGGACAGCGCCCGUAGGUCUCGAGUAAAUAUUUAACUAAA